AUAAGGACUCCGUGCACCUCUGAAUCGCUCGAGCUGGGAUCAGCGUUGUCAAGAAUAACAAGCCAAGGUCACAUGCUGUCGUGAGUCAGAUGUUAAGAAACGGCAGCAGAUUAGAAUUGGUCAUUAAAUUUUCAGAUGAUCAACUUCCAGAAAGCACCUCAAGUCUGCGAAUCAGUGUGGAUGAUGCACUUCCCCAUGCAACAAUGCCAUACUGGAGAUAUGAUUGGAAUAGGGAAAAAUAAACUAAUCGCAUAGCUGAUGUGAGUUCAUGUACAGUUCCAAAUCAUUUGAUGAAGCUGAACUUCCGAAUAGUCCAGUAUCAUCAGCAAAGAGUUUCACAAGUAGGUUAGUGGCAUGAGGGAGAUCAUUGACAAAGAGUAUGAACAUUACUGGCCCGAUUAUCGAUCCUUGUGGAAUUCCACACUGUACAGUUUCAAGUUUAGAACAAUGUGAUCCUAUUUUGACAUAUUGUUGACGUGAGCUCAAGUAGUUCUGGAAUAAUUUUGAUGCAUGUCCGCGAAUACCAUAGUGGCACAUCUUUUUAACUAAUAUGUUAUGAUCAACGGUGUCGAAUGCCUUUUUUAGGUCGAGGAAUAUGGCACUAAUAUGCU